AUCCAGCUGACGAGUCCCAAAUAGGACGAAGUGUUGCGCGUCGUGAAU
rnacentral:hammerhead_ribozyme from 1 species